rnacentral:rRNA from 1 species
GACGAACGCUGGCGGCGUGCUUAACACAUGCAAGUCGAACGGAAAGGCCUGCUUUCCCUUGUGGAUUGCGGGUACUCGAGUGGCGAACGGGUGAGUAACACGUGAGUGAUCUGCCCCCAACUUGGGUAUAAGCCUGGGAAACUGGGUCUAAUUCCCGAUAGGACUGCAGGGUGGUGCCUGCGGUGGAAAACGAUUUUCUAGUGGUUGGGGAUGAGCUCGCGGCCUAUCAGCUUGUUGGUGGGGUAAUGGCCUACCAAGGCGGCGACGGGUAGCCGGCCUGAGAGGGUGGACGGCCACAUUGGGACUGAGAUACGGCCCAGACUCCUACGGGAGGCAGCAGUGGGGAAUAUUGCACAAGGGGCGGAAGCCUGAUGCAGCGACGCCGCGGGGGGGAUGACGGCCUUCGGGUUGUAAACUCCUUUCGACCGCGAGGAAGCCACCUGGUUGGAAGGGUGGUGACGGUAGUGGUAGAAGAAGCACCGGCUAACUACGUG